rnacentral:rRNA from 1 species
CCUACGGGGGGCUGCAGUGGGGAAUAUUGCACAAUGGGCGCAAGCCUGAUGCAGCCAUGCCGCGUGUGUGAAGAGGGCCUUCGGGUUGUAAAGCACUUUCAGCGGGGAGGAAGGCGUUAAGGUUAAUAACCUUGGCGAUUGACGUUACCUGCAGAAGAAGCACCGGCUAACUCCGUGCCAGCAGCCGCGGUAAUACGGAGGGUGCAAGCGUUAAUCGGAAUUACUGGGCGUAAAGCGCACGCAGGCGGUCUGUCAAGUCGGAUGUGAAAUCCCCGGGCUCAACCUGGGAACUGCAUUCGAAACUAGCAGGCUAGAGUCCUGUAGAGGGGGGUAGAAUUCCAGGUGUAGCGGUGAAAUGCGUAGAGAUCUGGAGGAAUACCGGUGGCGAAGGCGGCCCCCUGGACAAAGACUGACGCUCAGGUGCGAAAGCGUGGGGAGCAAACAGGAUUAGAUACCCGAGUAGUC